GGAGGUGUACCUCAGUGGUAGAGUGCUUGCCUAGCAUGCAUGAGGCCCCGGGUUCCAUCCCCAGCACUGCCC
rnacentral:tRNA from 1 species